ACGCUGUUGGCGCUGGAGCACAUGAGGACAGACAAGGGCGGGAAAGGCGGAGUGAUCAUCAACAUAUCGUCUGCUGCAGGCCUGAACGUUAACCCAUUGAGCCCGGUAUACAGCGCUACGAAAGCUGGCAUCAUAGCUCUGACGCGGAGUCUGGCGAUGAAUUCCGAGGUGAAAUCUGCGGGAGUACGAUUAAACGUGGUAUGUCCGGCAUUCGUUGACACAGACCUGAUAAAAGAAAUCAAUGACGACAACUGUUUAGACGUCCAGAAGGCCAGCAAGUUCAUAGAAAUGAUCGGCGUUGUCUCCAAGGAGGUGGUAGUGGAUUGUUUCAUGGAACUUGUUCGUGACGUGAACCAGAAUGGAGCUGUUGUCAAGUGUUCUAAGAUGGACGGCACGCAAUACACCUCAAUUGAGGUGAAACCCGUCACCUAAUGCGCAGGAACCGUGCUGUAUAAAGUUUACAGACCCAUAAUGUAAGGUCACACGGGAGCUUUGAGAAGCAAUAAGCAUAUUGUUCCAAUAUACAAAGGAAAAACGUGUAAAACAGUAUGUGAGAACAGGUGUACGACAAGUAUAACAACUCACCAUUGUAUUAAUGUAUAUCCGUAUAUCAAAUUGUAAACCUAUUUCAAUAUCCAUUACCCAUCAUGACCUCGGGAAAGCGGGUGUUUUUAACAAAAGGAACAAUGUCGUUUGAGUUCAGUAUACAGGUACCGUAUGAUAUGGUAUUUAUCUUCACACAAUCAUAUCGAAACACCAUUGCAUACGAAGUAUGCAUCUGUCUGGCAUAUUUUUUUUAUCGUGUCUAUGCACUGUUCAAAAAAGUUACGAUGCCCUACGAUCAAAACAAAGGAAAACAAUGUAUGUAUUUGCAAUCUCGUUCAUUUGCAUUGUUCAUCUACACAGAAUCAUUUCUAGAACAUAAUACUUUGCAUUGUUUUAAGUGUUAACUACCUAAUUAAGAUGAGAAAAACGCUUGAGACAAUAAUCUUGCAUAAUGUAGGGUUGUUUUUUUUUCACCCGAACAUAAAAAGUAAUAAAACGGAACACAACAUAGCAAGGUUGUAGAAUUUUGUAUAUAAAAUAUGAGUACCGCGGUAAUCAUCUCGUAGACCAUGCCUUUUCAAUCACACAACUCAUUUACAAUAUAACCAUGUUGUGAAAAUAACAAUAUUACUUUACAGGAACAACAAAACAUUUUGUAAUGGUUUCAUAUCAAACAUAUAUUUAUAGUAGUGUAUGUCAUUUGUAACCAUACCGUGUUGUAAAAAUAAAUGUCUCUUAAGAGUA
rnacentral:misc_RNA from 1 species